GAUGAACGCUAGCGGCAGGCUUAAUACAUGCAAGUCGAGGGGCAGCGGGGGUAGCAAUACCUGCCGGCGACCGGCAAACGGGUGCGGAACACGUACACAACCUUCCUUGAGGUGGGAGAUAGCCCAGAGAAAUUUGGAUUAAUACCCCAUAAUAUAUUGGAGUUGCAUGACUUUGAUAUUAAAGAUUUAUUGCCUUAAGAUGGGUGUGCGUAUGAUUAGGUAGUUGGUUGAGGUAACGGCUCACCAAGCCUUCGAUCAUUAACUGGUGUGAGAGCACGACCAGUCACACGGGCACUGAGACACGGGCCCGACUCCUACGGGAGGCAGCAGUAAGGAAUAUUGGUCAAUGGACGAAAGUCUGAACCAGCCAUGCCGCGUGAAGGAUGACUGCCCUCUGGGUUGUAAACUUCUUUUAUAGGGGGCGAAAAAAGGCCAUUCUUGGUCGUCUGACGGUACCCUAUGAAUAAGCACCGGCUAACUCCGUGC
rnacentral:rRNA from 1 species